rnacentral:misc_RNA from 1 species
GAUCAUUACUGUGAUUUAGUACUACACUGCGUGAGCGGAACGAAAACAAAAACACCUAAAAUGUGGAAUAUAGCAUAUAGUCGACAAGAGAAAUCUACGAAAAACAAACAAAACUUUCAACAACGGAUCUCUUGGUUCUCGCAUCGAUGAAGAGCGCAGCGAAAUGCGAUACCUAGUGUGAAUUGCAGCCAUCGUGAAUCAUCGAGUUCUUGAACGCACAUUGCGCCCCUCGGCAUUCCGGGGGGCAUGCCUGUUUGAGCGUCGUUUCCAUCUUGCGCGUGCGCAGAGUUGGGGGAGCGGAGCGGACGACGUGUAAAGAGCGUCGGAGCUGCGACUCGCCUGAAAGGGAGCGAAGCUGGCCGAGCGAACUAGACUUUUUUUCAGGGACGCUUGGCGGCCGAGAGCGAGUGUUGCGAGACAACAAAAAGCUCGACCUCA